CCUAUCAUCCUCCCUCCCUAAAACCCACCUCAGAGCCAAAUAACCCUUCCCCACAAAAUCCAAGUGCCCCCCUGCUCACCAAAGCCCUCAACACCCCUCCCUAAAACCUGCCUUCUGCAAAAAAAAAAAAAAAAACCCUCCCAUAAAACUCACCCCUCCCAAAUCCCCAAAUAUCCCCAAACCACCCUACCCAAAAUACCUCUUCAAAACCCACCUCCCAAAUACACUUCUUCCAAAAAUACCUUUCCACCCCCUGGGUGCACACACUGGAAAGCUACAUCCCCCAAUUGCCCCAAAGUUUUUUGGGGGG